UACGGAGGGGGCUAGCGUUGUUCGGAAUUACUGGGCGUAAAGCGCACGUAGGCGGCUUUGUAAGUUAGAGGUGAAAGCCCGGGGCUCAGCUCCGGAAUUGCCUUUAAGACUGCAUCGCUAGAAUUGUGGAGAGGUAAGUGGAAUUCCGAGUGUAGAGGUGAAAUUCGUAGAUAUUCGGAAGAACACCAGUGGCGAAGGCGACUUACUGGACACAUAUUGACGCUGAGGUGCGAAAGCGUGGGGAGCAAACAGG
rnacentral:rRNA from 1 species